rnacentral:rRNA from 1 species
UAGGGAAUAUUGGGCAAUGGAAGCAAUUCUGACCCAGCCAUGCCGCGUGAAGGAAUACAGCCCUAUGGGUUUUAAACUUCUUUUAUUAUAGAGUAAACGGAGGUACGUGUACCUCCCUGCAAGUAUAUGAUGAAUAAGGAUCAGCUAACUCCGUUCCCGCAGCCGCGGUAAUACGGAGGAUCCAAGCGUUAUACGGAUUUAUUGGGUUUAAAGGGUGCGCAGGCGGAUCAAUAAGUCAGGGGUGAAAAAUUUCAGCUUAACUGGAAUCGUGCCUUUGAUACUGGUGGACUAGAGUAUAAUUGACGUGACUGGAAUGUGAUGUGUAGCGGUGAAAUGCUUAGAUAUGUCACAGAACGCCAAUCGUGAAGACAGGUCACGAAAUUAUUACUGACGCUCAUGCACGAAAGCGUGGGGAUCAAACA